ACACACACACUCCCACACUUUUAAAACAAUAACCAGAGCAUUGAGAAAUGAAAUACCAUAUACACACAUAUUAACACAUUUUUAAAUACACACUCACCUUCAAAACACUGAGAGGAAUCAGCUGCUAGCCUCUCACACACACACACACACACACACACACACACACACACACACACACACACACACACACACACACACACACACACACACACACACACUGCUCUCUUCCCUUUACAGCAGCAGCAUCAGUAAAUAGUUUGUCUAUAACAGGAAACAGCACAUGGACAGAAAAGUGACCGAUCGUCUCUCCUGAAGCAGCUUCAAAACAUUCACUGAUUCAAAGCUAACAGUCUAAAAGAAAUACGACUAAAUGAACUAACUUUAAAGAAGCUAUUCUCAUAUCAGACCGACAGUUGGUCGGCUAAUUCUGUUGCUGAAAGGUUGAAAAGGGCGAGUCUCAAAUUAGAAGCUCAUUUAGUCUGAUAGUCAGAGCAGCCUGAGACAUACUCGACAUAAAGUUAUUCGAGUUAAAGUAAGUUACUUGAGUAGAAGUUAAAGAAGUCUUCAAAAUAAAAAAGAGGAGAGAGGAGAACACCGGCACACUUCUGUCUUAUUUGUUGUCUUCAUCAGGUAAAGAAGUGAACACAUGAUCACGAUGACCUGCCACAUUUACACAAUAUUCACAGUCUGUAUCUCUACAGUAUGAUCACAAAGUAUAACAUCAUCAGAUUAUAAGUGAAGUUUCUCGUCAUGUUCUUCAGUUGUCAUCUCUUAUUUCAUCUUGUGUCCACGUGUUACAGCGUCUCAGAGUUCAACAGAUCCAUCAUCAGAUCAUGAAUCAAACAGAGACGACAAUCUGAGAUUGGCCGGCCUGGAUGGCGAUAGUGCUGAGAGUGGUGAAGGACGGCUUCAUGUUCCCUCCUCCUCCUCCUCCUCCUGCCUUCCUUCGUCCUCCACAUGUCACAGACUCUUCAGUCUCUCCGAUCGUCAUGAGGAAACACUGAAUCCAGGAAACUCUUCACAUGCAAAAGUUCCCAAAUCAGCUCCUGAAAUGAGAACUGCACCCGAGUGUUGUGCUGGGAAGAGUCGUGUCUCCAGGUUGAACUGACCUGUGCUGGUUGUUUCCUUUUCCUGACGGUCAAAUCUCCUACAGAACAACACAAAACAUGAAUGAGAGAAAAGUCUCCAGAGAAACAGUUAAAGCCACUGCAGUUCAGCCUCCCUGCACCCAAACUAAUCAAGGGCAGGAUCAACAAUGUUGAUCGUCUACAUUCAUAAUGAUUUAAACUCUUGUGUUGUACACGAGUGAAAAGAAGACUUUCUGAUCCUGACAUCCAAUUUUACUUUAAGUUUUUUUGUUGUUCAUGUGAAAAAAAGUCACAACAGAAUAAUUUUUAAAUUAAAUAGUCAGAUUUUAACAGCAGGCCACCAGAUUAAAGACAUGAAAUACACAGGUACUUCUUCUGAACAGCAGAUCAUUUGUAUUAAGUCUAAAAGUCAAGAAAUCAUUUAGGAAUGUUUCACAGAGUCGUCACCAGUAAUGAAAGCUAAUCUCUUUGGUUGGUGUUUAUUCUUUAAUAAAUGUACAGAAGUUAAUUCAUCAAUAAAUGAUUUAUGAGAUUUUCAUAAAUCAAACCUGACAACCCAAACAUGACUAGUUGUUACCAUUAAUAUUUGUUUUGGUUUUC